UACCUGCAGCUCAAGUGGUAGCCGCUAUUAUUGGGCCUAAAACGUUCGUAGCCGGUUUGAUAAAUGCCUGGGUAAAUCGUAUGGCUUAACCAUACGAAUUCCGGGUAGACUGUUAAACUUGAGACCGGGAGAAGUCGGAGGUACUCCUGGGGUAGAGGUGAAAUUCUGUAAUCCUAGGGGGACCACCAGUGGCGAAGGCGUCCGACUAGAACGGGUCUGACGGUGAGGGACGAAGCCCUGGGGCGCAAACCGGAUUAGAUACCCGGGUAGUCCAGGGUGUAAACGCUGCUUGCCUGAUGUUAGUUGGGCUCCGAGCCCAAUUAGUGUCGGAGAGAAGUUGUUAAGCAAGCUGCCUGGGAAGUACGGUCGCAAGACUGAAACUUAAAGGAAUUGGCGGGGAGCACAGCAACGGGUGGAGCGUGCGGUUU
rnacentral:rRNA from 1 species